rnacentral:rRNA from 1 species
UACGUAGGGUGCGAGCGUUAAUCGGAAUUACUGGGCGUAAAGCGUGCGCAGGCGGUUUUGUAAGCCAGAUGUGAAAUCCCCGGGCUUAACCUGGGAAUGGCAUUUGGGACUGCAAGGCUGGAGUGUGGCAGAGGAGACUGGAAUUCCUGGUGUAGCAGUGAAAUGCGUAGAUAUCAGGAGGAAUACCGAUGGCGAAGGCAGGUCUCUGGGCCACUACUGACGCUGAGAAGCGAAAGCAUGGGGAGCGAACAGG